CGGCGGACGGGUGAGUAACGCGUGGGUAACCUACCCUGUACACACAGAUAACAUACCGAAAGGUACGCUAAUACGGGAUAAUAUAUUUGAGAGGCAUCUCUUGAAUAUCAAAGGUGAGCCAGUACAGGAUGGACCCGCGUCUGAUUAGCUAGUUGGUAAGGUAACGGCUUACCAAGGCGACGAUCAGUAGCCGACCUGAGAGGGUGAUCGGCCACAUUGGAACUGAGACACGGUCCAA
rnacentral:rRNA from 1 species